UCGUAACAAGGUUUCCGUAGGUGAACCUGCGGAAGGAUCAUUACCGAGUGCAGGUCUGCCCCCGGGCAGGCCUAACCUCCCACCCGUGAAUACCUGACCAACGUUGCUUCGGCGGUGCGCCCCCCCGGGGGUAGCCGCCGGAGACCACACCGAACCUCCUGUCUUUAGUGUUGUCUGAGCUUGAUAGCAAACCUAUUAAAACUUUCAACAAUGGAUCUCUUGGUUCCGGCAUCGAUGAAGAACGCAGCGAACUGCGAUAAGUAAUGUGAAUUGCAGAAUUCAGUGAAUCAUCGAGUCUUUGAACGCACAUUGCGCCCCCUGGCAUUCCGGGGGGCAUGCCUGUCCGAGCGUCAUUGCUGCCCUUCAAGCCCGGCUUGUGUGUUGGGUCGUCGUCCCCCCCGGGGGACGGGCCCGAAAGGCAGCGGCGGCACCGCGUCCGGUCCUCGAGCGUAUGGGGCUUUGUCACCCGCUCGAUUAGGGCCGGCCGGGCGCCAGCCGGCGUCUCCAACCUUCUAUUUUACCAGGUUGACCUCGGAUCAGGUAGGGAUACCCGCUGAACUUAAGCAUAUCAAUAA
rnacentral:misc_RNA from 1 species